ACGAACGCUGGCGGCGUGCUUAACACAUGCAAGUGGAGCGACGAACCAGGGCUUGCCCUGGGGCAGAGCCGCGAACGGGUGAGUAACACGUGGGUAACGUGCCCCGAUGACUGGGACAACCCGGGGAAACCCGGGCUAAUACCGGAUGUGCCCCCUCACAUCAGUGAGGUGUGUAAAGGAAGCUUCGGCCUCCGCAUCGGGAUCGGCCCGCGGCCCAUUAGCUUGUUGGUGAGGUAACGGCUCACCAAGGCUGCGAUGGGUAGCUGGUCUGAGAGGACGAUCAGCCACACUGGGACUUGGGACAGGCCCAGACUCCCACGGGAAGCAGCCGUGGGGGAUCUUGGGGCAUGGGCGGAAGCGGGACGGAACCACGGCGCGUGGGGGAAGGAGGCCUUCGGGUUUGAAACCCCUUUCAGUUGGGACGAAGGUCGGGCGGUUAACAGCCGUUCCGGCUGACGGUACCUUCACAAGAAGCCCCGGCUAACUACGUG
rnacentral:rRNA from 1 species